rnacentral:rRNA from 1 species
AGAGUUUGAUCCUGGCUCAGGAUGAACGCUAGCGGCAGGCUUAAUACAUGCAAGUCGUGGGGCAGCGCAGGUAGCAAUACUGGGCGGCGACCGGCAAACGGGUGCGGAACACGUACGCAACCUUCCUUUAAGCGGGGAAUAGCCCAGGGAAACUUGGAUUAAUACCCCAUAAGACAAUAACAUGGCAUCAUGAAGUUGUU